CACGGGGGGAGCAAGCGUUGUUCGGAAUCACUGGGCGUAAAGGGCGUGUAGGCGGUUUGGUAAGUGGAAUGUGAAAUCCCUCGGCUUACCCGAGGACCUGCAUCCCAUACUGCCAAGCUUGAGUACGGGAGAGGAUGAGGGAAUUCCUGGUGUAGCGGUGAAAUGCGCAGAUAUCGGGAGGAACACCAAUGGCGAAGGCAGCUCGCUGGGACGGUACUGACGCUGGAGGCGACGAAAGCGUGGGGAGCAACAGG
rnacentral:rRNA from 1 species